rnacentral:snRNA from 1 species
AGCUUUGUGCAGUGGCAAUAUUGUAGCCAGUGAGGUUUAUCCCCGGCGCGAUUAUUGCGGAUUGAAACUACUGAAGGAUUCCUUGUUCCUGUGCCUUGUAACACCCCUGUACUCAUUAGAAAUCUUACAAUCGA